rnacentral:lncRNA from 1 species
AGGGGGGUUGGGGACUGCAACAGAGCGGGGCUGGGGUUUUGUUGCCUUUGGGAGAGCACGGGGUGCUCACGCAUCUUGGGUCCCAUGGGUGUGAAAUGCCGAGAGACAAAUGGGAAAUGGUGGGUGGGAACGGGGUGGAGACGCAGGUUUGGGAGGGGAGAUGGGGUAAUUCAGCUUGGGGAAUGGCUUGUGUUUCCCGCCUCACCCUGGCACUUGUCCUGGUGUGGCGAGGCGGGGGGGGGGGGGUCAAACCGCGGUGAUUUGGGAGGGCUCUGGUGCUGUUGGGGUGCCGGUGCCGCACGUCUCAGCCGGGCACGCUUCACUAGGUGUCACCCUUCUGCCAGCCCCGAAAAGCCACCUCUGCCCAGAGCCUGCACGCCCUCCUGGGCAAGGCGCCCCGCGCCAGCGCCUACCUCCUGCCCCAGCCGGGGCCCAGGGACAGGACGGGGGCCUCGGGGCCGCGGCGCUCGCUCAGUGUGGAGGACAUCGGCACGCCCGACCUGCCGCGCACGGUGGGGCGCGUGGUGGAGGUGUUCCCCGACGGCACCAGCCAGCUGGAGCUGCAGCGGCCCCCGCACGGCUCCUUCGGCUUCCGCCUCACCUCCGGGCACGGCCGGCCCGACACAGGUACCGUGGGGCUGUCCAAAGUUGUGCAAAAAUCACGUUUUUUUGGUUUUUUAUUUUUGGUUAAAUUGUGUUUGUGAGCUGAGCCGUGCCAGCUCGGGGCUCACCCGCCCGUGCCUCCGUCCGCAGGCGUCUACGUGCAGGAGAUGUCGGACGCGGGCACGGCCAAGCUGUACGCGGGGCUGCUGGGCGUGGGCGAUGAGAUCCUGCAGGUCAACGGGGCCGCCGUGUCGGGCCUGGGGCUGGCCCGCAUCCGCGAGCUGCUGCUCCGCGCCGACAGCCUGUCCCUCCGCGUGCUCAGGCAGCGCCCGGCCCGCCGGUAGCAGCGGGGAGCCCGGCAGGAGGAAGAAGGAGGAGGAGGGUGGCCUACAGGCGCCUCUGGACGUCUCCAAAGCCGUGGGUCUCGCCGCGGACCUCACUGACAAAGGGACCGUGAGUGGCCCUGCUGCGUGCGGUGCGUGGGUCCCCGGGGGCACGGCAGGACCGAGGGCCUGCCCCGGGGCACCACCAGCAUCCCCAGGAGCUGCCCCCGGGGGGUGUUCCCUGCCAGAGCUGGAAACCUCCACCCAUAGGCUGGUGGGUUUCUUUUUAAAUUAUUUCAAACUGAAAAAAAAAAAAUCUAUGCAUAUAAAUAUAUAUAUAUAUAUUAUACACAUAUAA